UACGAAGGGUGCAAGCGUUACUCGGAAUUACUGGGCGUAAAGCGUGCGUAGGCGGUUUGUUAAGUCCGCUGUGAAAGCCCUGGGCUCAACCUGGGAAUUGCAGUGGAUACUGGCAAGCUAGAGUGCGGUAGAGGAUGGUGGAAUUCCCGGUGUAGCGGUGAAAUGCGUAGAGAUCGGGAGGAACACCAGAGGCGAAGGCGGCGACCUGGACAGGUACUGACACUCAACUACGAAAGCGUGGGGAGCAAACAGG
rnacentral:rRNA from 1 species